rnacentral:rRNA from 1 species
AAACUCAAAUGAAUUGACGGGGAGCACCACAACGGGUGGAGCUUGCGGUUUAAUUGGAUUCAACGCCGGAAAUCUUACCGGGACCGACAGCAAUAUGAAGGCCAGGCUGAAGACUUUGCCGGAUUAGCUGAGAGGUGGUGCAUGGCCGUCGUCAGUUCGUACUGUGAAGCAUCCUGUUAAGUCAGGCAACGAGCGAGACCCACGCCCACAGUUGCCAGCGUACUCUCUGGAGUGACGGGUACACUGUGGGGACCGCCGCUGCUAAAGCGGAGGAAGGAAUGGGCAACGGUAGGUCAGUAUGCCCCGAAUAUCCCGGGCUACACGCGAGCUACAAUGGUUGGUACAAUGGGUAUCUACCCCGAAAGGGGACGGGAAUCUCCUAAAACCAAUCUUAGUUCGGAUUGAGGGCUGCAACUCGCCCUCAUGAAGCUGGAAUCCGUAGUAAUCGCGUUUCAACAGAACGCGGUGAAUACGUUCCCGGGCCUU